UUCAGGCCUAACACAUGCAAGUCGAGCGGUAGCACAGAGAGCUUGCUCUCGGGUGACGAGCGGCGGACGGGUGAGUAAUGUCUGGGAAACUGCCUGAUGGAGGGGGAUAACUACUGGAAACGGUAGCUAAUACCGCAUAACGUCGCAAGACCAAAGAGGGGGACCUUCGGGCCUCUUGCCAUCAGAUGUGCCCAGAUGGGAUUAGCUAGUAGGUGGGGUAACGGCUCACCUAGGCGACGAUCCCUAGCUGGUCUGAGAGGAUGACCAGCCACACUGGAACUGAGACACGGUCCAGACUCCUACGGGAGGCAGCAGUGGGGAAUAUUGCACAAUGGGCGCAAGCCUGAUGCAGCCAUGCCGCGUGUAUGAAGAAGGCCUUCGGGUUGUAAAGUACUUUCAGCGGGGAGGAAGGUGCUGAGGUUAAUAACCUCAGCAAUUGACGUUACCCGCAGAAGAAGUACCGGCUAACUCCGUGCCAGCAGCCGCGGUAAUAUGGAGGGUGCAAGCGUUAAUCGGAAUUACUGGGCGUAAAGCGCACGCAGGCGGUCUGUCAAGUCGGAUGUGAAAUCCCCGGGCUCAACCUGGGAACUGCAUUCGAAACUGGCAGGCUAGAGUCUUGUAGAGGGGGGUAGAAUUCCAGGUGUAGCGGUGAAAUGCGUAGAGAUCUGGAGGAAUACCGGUGGCGAAGGCGGCCCCCUGGACAAAGACUGACGCUCAGGUGCGAAAGCGUGGGGAGCAAACAGGAUUAGAUACCCUGGUAGUCCACGCCGUAAACGAUGUCGACUUGGAGGUUGUGCCCUUGAGGCGUGGCUUCCGGAGCUAACGCGUUAAGUCGACCGCCUGGGGAGUACGGCCGCAAGGUUAAAACUCAAAUGAAUUGACGGGGGCCCGCACAAGCGGUGGAGCAUGUGGUUUAAUUCGAUGCAACGCGAAGAACCUUACCUACUCUUGACAUCCAGAGAACUUUCCAGAGAUGGAUUGGUGCCUUCGGGAACUCUG
rnacentral:rRNA from 1 species